rnacentral:misc_RNA from 1 species
AAGUCGUAACAAGGUUUCCGUAGGUGAACCUGCGGAAGGAUCAUUAAUGGGUUAGCGGCUUGCCGCAACUCCCACCCUUCAAACCAGUGGCUAGAAGUCGGCAUAGAGGCAAACCCCCUCUUUGAUUGGGGGCCCAGCCUGCCGGAAUCUCGCGACCCUGCUUGAAUAUUGCCGUCUGAGAAUAUGGGGAAUUAGAAAAAACUUUCAACAACGGAUCUCUUGGUUCUG